AGCAGAGACAGGGGAGCGUGAGUAAAAUUGGAGUUAUUUCGAUAAUAGGGGUUCACAUAAAUCACUUUACUCUUCUCUCUGUCCCAAACUUUUUCACAGACAAGAGAGAAGAUCCAUCUCUCUCAUCUCUCUCAUCUCUCUCCCUUGUUCAAAUUGAGCUGUUUUUUCUUUUCACUUCCAGUGUCCCGAUCGAAGAAGAGAAACUAAAUGCUUCUUCUUUCUUUCUAGGGUUACUUUACCAAAUCUCCUAAUUCUAGCUUGUGAAGGAAAGAUGCUGCUGAAUGCAUUGUGAUGUGAUGUGAGACCAAGCUUGUCUUUUAUAGACGAGAUGGAUAUAUUAUUAUUGUUUUCUCCAAAUAUGUCAAUAUAUUUUUCUCCUUUUCUGUUCAACUUGAUUUAAAGACAAAUGUCCAAGUAUUUGUUUUCAUUUUAUGUGAUUGUGACAACUGUAAAAUGACUAAUCUUUUUCUUUUUCUUUUAACACUACAUUUCAUUUGAUAGAAGGAAGUAUAUUGUUGGAUUACA